UCAGUAGCGGCGAGUGAAGCGGCAAAAGCUCAAAUUUGAAAUCUGGCGUCUUUGGCGUCCGAGUUGUAAUUUGAAGAAGGUAUCUUUGGGCCCGGCUCUUGUCUAUGUUCCUUGGAACAGGACGUCACAGAGGGUGAGAAUCCCGUGCGAUGAGAUGACCCGGGUCUGUGUAAAGUUCCUUCGACGAGUCGAGUUGUUUGGGAAUGCAGCUCUAAGUGGGUGGUAAAUUCCAUCUAAAGCUAAAUAUUGGCGAGAGACCGAUAGCGAACAAGUACAGUGAUGGAAAGAUGAAAAGAACUUUGAAAAGAGAGUGAAAAAGUACGUGAAAUUGUUGAAAGGGAAGGGCUUGAGAUCAGACUUGGUAUUUUGCAUGCUGCUCUCUCGGGGGCGGCCGCUGCGGUUUACCGGGCCAGCAUCGGUUUGGAGCGGCAGGAUAAUGGCGGAGGAAUGUGGCACGGCUUCUGCUGUGUGUUAUAGCCUCUGACGAUACUGCCAGCCUAGACCGAGGACUGCGGUUUUUACCUAGGAUGUUGGCAUAAUGAUCUUAAGUCGCCCGUCUU
rnacentral:rRNA from 1 species